rnacentral:rRNA from 1 species
GAUGAGCAUGCGUCCCAUUAGCUUGUUGGUAAGGUAACGGCUUACCAAGGCAACGAUGGGUAGGGGUCCUGAGAGGGAGAUCCCCCACACUGGUACUGAGACACGGACCAGACUCCUACGGGAGGCAGCAGUGAGGAAUAUUGGUCAAUGGGCGCAAGCCUGAACCAGCCAUGCCGCGUGCAGGAUGACGGUCCAAUGGAUUGUAAACUGCUUUUGUACAGGAAGAAACAGUUCUACGUGUAGAACCUUGACGGUACUGUAAGAAUAAGGAUCGGCUAACUCCGUGCCAGCAGCCGCGGUAAUACGGAGGAUCCAAGCGUUAUCCGGAAUCAUUGGGUUUAAAGGGUCCGUAGGCGGUUUUGUAAGUCAGUGGUGAAAGCCCAUCGCUCAACGGUGGAACGGCCAUUGAUACUGCAAGACUUGAAUUAUUAGGAAGUAACUAGAAUAUGUAGUGUAGCGGUGAAAUGCUUAGAGAUUACAUGGAAUACCAAUUGCGAAGGCAGGUUACUACUAAUGGAUUGACGCUGAUGGACGAAAGCGUGGGGA